AUUGAACGCUGGCGGCAUGCCUUACACAUGCAAGUCGAACGGCAGCGGGGGAGAAGCUUGCUUUACCUGCCGGCGAGUGGCGAACGGGUGAGUAAUACAUCGGAACGUGCCCUGUAGAGGGGGAUAACUAGUCGAAAGAUUAGCUAAUACCGCAUACGACCUGAGGGUGAAUGUGGGGGACCGCAAGGCCUCAUGCUAUAGGAGCGGCCGAUGUCUGAUUAGCUAGUUGGUGGGGUAAAGGCCUACCAAGGCGACGAUCAGUAGCUGGUCUGAGAGGACGAUCAGCCACACUGGGACUGAGACACGGCCCAGACUCCUACGGGAGGCAGCAGUGGGGAAUUUUGGACAAUGGGCGAAAGCCUGAUCCAGCAAUGCCGCGUGUGUGAAGAAGGCCUUCGGGUUGUAAAGCACUUUUGUCCGGAAAGAAAUGGCUCUGGUUAAUACCUGGGGUCGAUGACGGUACCGGAAGAAUAAGGACCGGCUAACUACGUGCCAGCCGCCGCGGUAAAAC
rnacentral:rRNA from 1 species